rnacentral:rRNA from 1 species
ACUGGUAGGCUUGGGACCGGGAGAGGUGGGAGGUACUCCAGGGGUAGGGGUGAAAUCUCGUAAUCCUUGGGGGACCACCGAUGGCGAAGGCAUCCCACCAGAACGGGUCCGACGGUGAGGGACGAAAGCUGGGGGCACGAACCGGAUUAGAUACCCGGGUAGUCCCAGCCGUAAACGAUGCUCGCUAGGUGUCAGGUGCGGUGCGACCGCAU